UACGAAAGGGGCUAGCGUUGUUCGGAUUUACUGGGCGUAAAGGGCACGCAGGCGGUCUUGCCAGUCAGGGGUGAAAGCCCGAGGCUCAACCUCGGAACUGCCUCUGAUACUGUAAGACUUGAGACUAGGAGAGGGUGGUGGAAUUCCCAGUGUAGAGGUGAAAUUCGUAGAUAUUGGGAGGAACACCAGAGGCGAAGGCGGCCACCUGGACUAGAUCUGACGCUCAGGUGCGAAAGCGUGGGGAGCAAACAGGAUUAGAUACCCGCGUAGUCC
rnacentral:rRNA from 1 species